CCUGCAUUCCUUCCACACCACUGAUACCGAUUCCAAUAUCAGCUUCUUGGAGCAUACCAACAUCAUUUGCACCAUCUCCAAUAGCUAGAGUUGUACUACCAGGUCUCAUCUUAACCAGUCUAGUAACAAGUGCUUUUUGUUUUGGAGACGAACGACAACAUAUAACAGAUGCGCAACCAAUCGCAAGUUCAAGAAACACGUUCUUUACAUCGUCUUCUAGCGCAUAAGCAAGAGACUUCCCAUCAAUGAUCAGAGCUAAUGCCUCAGAGUUGUCAUCUGAUUUUGAAAGUAACUUCUUUGCCUCCGUUAUUUGUUGAACAACACUUGCCUUAAUUGCCUGAAGAAUCAGAAAGAUUGAACUAAAAUCAAUUUAAUUGGAAGAACACAUGUUAAACUAUUAAGAACACCAACAAUUAAGAUUCUAAUCUAAUGCAUUUUGACAAAAAACAAAAAGUGAAAGUGAAGGCUUACCGCUUCAGAAGCAGACUUGUCCUCCAUUUUCUCCAAUGUUUUGAUUUCAGGAGUAUCUGAAUUAAUGAUAAUUUGUUUCAUUCCUUGUCUAAGCAAACUACAAGCAAAUCUGCAGUCACAGGAAAAUUAACUGAUCAGUG
rnacentral:lncRNA from 1 species